AGAGUUUGAUCAUGGCUCAGAGUGAACGCUGGCGGCGUGCUUAACACAUGCAAGUCGAGCGAAGUACUAACGGUAGCAAUACUGGAUAGGCUUAGCGGCAGACGGGUGAGUAACACGUAGAGAACCUUCCUCUAAGCGGGGGAUAGCUAGCCGAAAGGUUAGGUAAUACCGCGUACGAUCCACUGGUGGCAUCACCGGUGGAUGAAACAUCCGCAAGGAUGGCUUGGAGAGGGCUCUGCGGCCUAUCAGCUAGUUGGUGAGGUAACGGCUCACCAAGGCAACGACGGGUAACCGACCUGAAAGGGUGAACGGUCACACUGACACUGAGACACGGGUCAGACACCUACGGGUGGCAGCAGUGAGGAAUCUUGGACAAUGGGGGCAACCCUGAUCCAGCGACGCCGCGUGAAGGAUGAAGGUCUUCGGAUUGUAAACUUCUUUUGUCUGGGAAUAAAAAAUCUAUAGAAAUAUGGAGAUGAAGGUACCAGACGAAUAGUCCC
rnacentral:rRNA from 1 species